AAGCCUAUUCAAGCCCACUGAGAAUAGGAACAAGUGGCAUUUAUAUAGGACAAAGGAGGAUGACUGCUAGAUCUGUCAGCAUCCCUGUCACUGCUCCAGGAACCUGAGGGCGCCGAGAGCAUUGGAGUAAUGUUCCGAGGUUACAAUGUGGCAAAUGGCAAAGCCGGGAUUCCCAUUCAGGCAGGUGGGCUUCAGAGCCUGCCCCCUUAUCCACUGUGCUAUACCGCCUUUCAGGUAGGAGCACAUGAGUGGAAAGAGCAUGAGGUUUAGAAUGAGAAAGCGUUUGACUAUUCUAGCUGCGUGGUCUUGAGCAAGUUACAUACCUCUCUGGACUCUGGACUUCUUAUCUGCAAAGGUGACAAUAACAUCUGCUUCAGCAUCUACGACAGGAGGCAUGAAAUGAUUAAAUAUUCAAGCACAGAGAAAUACACUCAGGGAAGGGAGAUAAUGAGUCUAAAAUGUGACAUCCUGUGCCCAGCACUGACAGCAUCAUCUUUGCUGCCUCCCUGGCUCAGAGUUUUGCCAGUUCUUGAUGAAGACGAAUAUUAGUGUCAGGAUCUCACUGAAUAUGACUGUUUCGUUCCUUAUAUACUUAUGUCUUGAAUGCUGUCUAUAGGAAAUUGUGUAUUAUACUAAUUCUAUAAUCCACAUAAUAAUUUUUAGCGGAUCUUUUUGUUAUUUUUGUCAAUACUGAACAUACAGAGCUUUUUUAACAUACACUACACGUUUCUAAUUUGUGACAUUAGCAAAAAUUCUGGUGUGCAAAUGAUAUAAACAAUUUGUGGAAUAGAAAACAUAAUUAGUUAGCCAUAUAUGGGAAGUAGCUAAGCCUCUCUAGAGAUCAAAGAAAGGCAAAACAAAAGACAUGCAUCAUGUUUCACAUAUGAAUAGAUUCUGAGCUAGCGAGGGUCAUAUUUAUUAUUGAUGGGUAUAUAAACUGGAUAAAAGCCUGUUGGAAGGCUUUUUAUAACAUAUAACAAGAAUCUUAAAUAUGUUCAUGUAUUUUAGGAUAAUUUGUUUCUGGAAUCUAGCUCUGAGAAAUAACAUGAAGCACACAGUAAAAGCUUCUAAUAUAAAGUAUUCAUUGUGGCGUUACUUAU